rnacentral:rRNA from 1 species
GUCUAUGGCCAUACCACCCUGAACGCACCCGAUCUCAUCUGAUCUCGGAAGCUAAGCAGGGUCGGGCCUGGUUAGUACUUGGAUGGGAGAUCAUGAGGCUCUGUGAAAACAGAAAUUUAAAGUUC